UACGUAGGGUGCAAGCGUUGUCCGGAAUUAUUGGGCGUAAAGAGCUCGUAGGCGGUUUGUCGCGUCUGCUGUGAAAACCCGAGGCUCAACCUCGGGCCUGCAGUGGGUACGGGCAGACUAGAGUGCGGUAGGGGAGACUGGAAUUCCUGGUGUAGCGGUGGAAUGCGCAGAUAUCAGGAGGAACACCGGUGGCGAAGGCGGGUCUCUGGGCAGUAACUGACGCUGGAGGAGCGAAA
rnacentral:rRNA from 1 species